rfam:Acidobacteria bacterium RIFCSPLOWO2_12_FTLL_54_10 rifcsplowo2_12_scaffold_4084, whole genome shotgun sequence.
CCCACGGCUUACGCCGUGGGCUAAAAUCUAAUGCCCCUCCGGGGCU